UGCCAGGAAGGGCUGACGUCACCGUUCGGCCUGUGUGUGCCUGCGGGUGCCCCGGGGAGGGUGGAGCCGAGUCGCGUGGUGGACUGAGGGCGUUAUCCUGCUAAGGGUGUUGGUGAUGGUUUACUUCAUUAAGUGUGUAGCUGUGAACUGUCAGGGCAAGAUUAUGACUGAACUAGAGGAGAACAUCACCCAGAGAUCUUGGACUUGGAGCUGGAUGCAGGCACUGAUGAGACUCUGGGUUUCCCCGUUGGGGGAGGAAGAAUCAACUUUCCAGCCCCUUGAGCAACCAGCGAGCCAGUCAUCCAUAUCUGCAACCAGACUUUGAUUUGAAUAGAUGACUCCAGUCUCACGUGUCACCCGACUGCAACCAGAUGAGAAGCCCCAGGUGAGACCAGUGGAAGAACUGCCUACAUGAUCUCAGACAACCUACAGAAUCACAAGAGGGGGUCAUUCCAGUGCUUUCUAUUGAUGAAACUUAAAAUUCUGCCACCUGAUGACGGAGAACUUUUUGCAGGAUCCAAGUCCAGUAUCACAAAGUGCAGGGUAAAGAAGAGUGGAUUUGGAAUGGAAAGCCAAUAAAUUGAUAACUUGC